GAAGAACUCAUAUCUUUGACAUGGGCCGUAAAUAAGUUGGGCCUAUCAGUGUUGAAAGUCCAACAUUAGGUCAUCGUCGGUAUUGGAUGAGACGAGAACAUCAUUCGUACCGGAAAUUCUCCCGUAAUAAGAGUGAAUGGAGAAGAGGAUCACCCUGGUUCAAACCGUUGCCACCGCCGGCGUCUUCUCCGCCAUUUCCUUCUGGUAUGGAUUCAUGUUUGGCAGAGAAUCCUCUCGCAAAGAGCUCUCUCACCUAAUUGAAGAUCUCCGCCGCGAUGUUUUCAGAGAUUCAUAAACUUCUAAAGGCCUAUUGCUAGUUGCUACGGAUUCAAUGGGCUAGUGGCUCAGCAUCCUUUUCCUUACAUACCUAAUAAGCAAAAGAGAAAUUUUUAAUUGGAGGGAGUUUGUAAUGCAAAAGUAUAACAAUGGGCCACAAUUAGAGGUGUGUGUCAAGUUCUUAUGACUGGGAAUUGCUUGGUAGCGUUGCUCAAGUUAGUGCCAUUAAAAAUAUCUGUGUUUUCUUGGAGAGUUUUCCAAAAUAGGAUACCAUUAGAAGUUAAUAGGGGAAAACGAGGUGUUUUUUUAACAUGAUAUGGUUUAACGUGUCUUCGGAUGUGGGAUGGAAGAGGAUGUAUCAUACUUAUUUUUCGAAUGUCAUUUAAGUGUUGAAGUAUGGAAUGGUAUUUUGGAUUGGGUGGGUGUAUCCAAUGUAUAUUAAGGGAUUGGAAAAUUUCACUCAAUUCUUUUGGCUUCCUGUUGUGUGUAAUGGAUUUUUUCUACUAAUUGACCAUCAUGUUGAGACCAAUUAUAUCUGGCCGAGUUGCAGAUAUUUUGGAGGGUGCUAAGGCUAUUCUUUUUAUUAUUAUAUGUGGAUGUUAAUGCUAUAAAACUGAUGUGAAUAGUGUUCCUGUCAUCACAACAUAGAAUGAGGUGGAGCAAAAAUUUGGUGCUAUGAAAAAUGUUAUGGAAUGCUGCGGUAUGAAGAGCUGUUGUGCUGCCAGUCAUGGAGGUGAUGCAGUCUUGCUUAGGCGAUUGUUACUUGUUUGGGAUAGAGAAACAAAUUGGACUGGGAUUCUCCAAUUUGUGGUGCCGAUGUUACUCUAACUUUCAACUUCUGCAAAUCAGCAUAUGGAUCUUAAGUUUCAAAGGUGUCAGCAUAUGAAUCUUGAGUUUCAAACGGUGUCAUGUGUUAUACCGCCGCCCAAGUUUACCGUCCAAACAACCAUCACCAACUCUGAACACCAUCAUUUUGCUCGACUACCACUGUCGUUUUUACUCGAUCACUCCAAUUUUUCAUACGUUCUGGCUGUAGACUCUGACAACUAAAAUAUGGAAUGCAACCAACCUUAAUCAUAAGUUUGGUCAUCACAUUAUGACAAAGUCAAGAGUUUUUAGAACUUUAAAUUUCUUGUGGAAAAUAUAUUUUCGCGUGUUGUACAAGGCUUAGGCAUCGUAGAUUAGUAUAUGACUUGACUUUGUUUUCAUCUAAAUUGUCAUUUUGUAAGUUGUAACUUCAAAAUACAAAAGAUUGGAGAAUAAUCAUGUAUUCAGUGGGUCUGUGAAAUGUAUAUGUUCGUUUGAA